GACGAACGCUGGCGGCGUGCUUAACGCAUGCAAGUCGAACGAUGAACCCGGAGCUUGCUCCGGUGGAUUAGUGGCGAACGGGUGAGUAACACGUGAGUAACCUGCCCUUGACUCUGGGAUAACUGCGGGAAACUGUAGCUAAUACCGGCAACGACCCUCGGCGGCAUCGCCAGGGGGUGGAAAGAAUUUCGGUCAAGGAUGGACUCGCGGCCUAUCAGCUAGUGGGUGAGGUAACGGCUCGCCAAGGCGACGACGGGUAGCCGGCCUGAGAGGGUGACCGGCCACACUGGGACUGAGACACGGCCCAGACUCCUACGGGAGGCAGCAGUGGGGAAUAUUGCACAAUGGGCGCAAGCCUGAUGCAGCAACGCCGCGUGAGGGAUGACGGCCUUCGGGUUGUAAACCUCUUUUAGUAGGGAAGGAGCGAAAGUGACGGUACCUGCAGAAAAAGCACCGGCUAACUACGUGCCAGCAGCCGCAGUAA
rnacentral:rRNA from 1 species